rnacentral:rRNA from 1 species
CAGUCGCCACGGUAAUGCGUAGGGUGCAAGCGUUAAUCGGAAUUACUGGGCGUAAAGCGUGCGCAGGCGGUUCGCUAAGACAGAUGUGAAAUCCCCGGGCUUAACCUGGGAACUGCAUUUGUGACUGGCGGGCUAGAGUAUGGCAGAGGGGGGUAGAAUUCCACGUGUAGCAGUGAAAUGCGUAGAGAUGUGGAGGAAUACCGAUGGCGAAGGCAGCCCCCUGGGCCAAUACUGACGCUCAUGCACGAAAGCGUGGGGAGCAAACAGGAUUAGAUACCCGGGUAGUCCCUGUCUCUUAUAC